rnacentral:miRNA from 1 species
UGAGGUGACCGCAGAUGGGAA